GGGGCUCUGAGGUCCCGGAACACAUAGUGGCCGUGACGACACGAGGCGGGGCUCUGAGGUACCGGGGCUCUGAGGUACCGGAACACAUAGUGACCGUGACAAUGGGAGUGGGGGCUUUGAGGUAGCGGAACACAUAGUGACCGUGACGAUGGGAGUGGGGGCUUUGAGGUAGCGGAACACAUAGUGACCGUGACGAUGGGAGUGGGGGCUUUGAGGUAGCGGAACACAUAGUGACCGUGACGAUGGGAGUGGGGGGCUUUGAGGUAGCGGAACACAUAGUGACCGUGACGAUGGGAGUGGGGG
ensembl:lncRNA